AAAUUGAAGAGUUUGAUCAUGGCUCAGAUUGAACGCUGGCGGCAGGCCUAACACAUGCAAGUCGAACGGUAGCACAGAGAGCUUGCUCUCGGGUGACGAGUGGCGGACGGGUGAGUAAUGUCUGGGAAACUGCCUGAUGGAGGGGGAUAACUACUGGAAACGGUGGCUAAUACCGCAUAACGUCGCAAGACCAAAGAGGGGGACCUUCGGGCCUCUUGCCAUCAGAUGUGCCCAGAUGGGAUUAGCUUGUUGGUGAGGUAACGGCUCACCAAGGCGACGAUCCCUAGCUGGUCUGAGAGGAUGACCAGCCACACUGGAACUGAGACACGGUCCAGACUCCUACGGGAGGCAGCAGUGGGGAAUAUUGCACAAUGGGCGCAAGCCUGAUGCAGCCAUGCCGCGUGUAUGAAGAAGGCCUUCGGGUUGUAAAGUACUUUCAGCGGGGAGGAAGGUGUUGUGGUUAAUAACCACAGCAAUUGACGUUACCCGCAGAAGAAGCACCGGCUAACUCCGUGCCAGCAGCCGCGGUAAUACGGAGGGUGCAAGCGUUAAUCGGAAUUACUGGGCGUAAAGCGCACGCAGGCGGUCUGUCAAGUCGGAUGUGAAAUCCCCGGGCUCAACCUGGGAACUGCAUUCGAAACUGGCAGGCUUGAGUCUUGUAGAGGGGGGU
rnacentral:rRNA from 2 species